AUAAAAUGAGAAGCUGAAAGAAGAAAACGCUAAAGCCAAACUGAAAUGGUGGGUUUAAUUCAUCUGAAGUCUCUUCUGAAGAGAACGAAGUGUCCUAACAGUUGGUUCAGAGAAGUGGAUGUUUGCCUGCCUCCAGAUAUUUUUCCUUUCAGUUCAGUGGAACAUAAUGCAUCAGCUGGUCAGUGUUCCUGUCACUGAAAAGCCCACUGAGCCAAAGUUUUUGUCCGAUUGCCACGAGACAACCACUGCAGCAACGAGCAUGAGUAUUCAAGGAAAAUCUGGACAAUUUGUUAUUCUGUUAGUGAAAAUGAGAAAUGUGAUACCAAGCCAUAUGUUUAUUUUGUCUUUCAACAGAAGCCUGAACAAGCAAUAAAGCAGGAGGAGAUCCUCGGGGUCAUGGGGGACACAAGGACUGACUUCCUGCAGGGGGUCCUCUGGGAUUACAACAUCCUGGACAUCCAGAGGAAGCUGUGGGAGCCACCAUACAAUAAAUUAAAACAUGGGAGCAUAAAAACUAGAAUCACAACAGAGGGAAGUGAUUAAGAUUGACAUUUCAGGAAAAGAAGAAUUAAAGAGGAGAGGAGAGAAAUGAAGCACAGAAAAAGUUGGGAUCAGUAUUUC